GACGAACGCUGGCGGCGUGCUUAACACAUGCAAGUCGAACGGAAAGGCCCUGCUUUUGUGGGGUGCUCGAGUGGCGAACGGGUGAGUAACACGUGAGUAACGUGCCCUUGACUUUGGGAUAACUUCAGGAAACUGGGGCUAAUACCGGAUAGGAGCUCCUGCUGCAUGGUGGGGGUUGGAAAGUUUCGGCGGUUGGGGAUGGACUCGCGGCUUAUCAGCUUGUUGGUGGGGUAGUGGCUUACCAAGGCUUUGACGGGUAGGCGGCCUGAGAGGGUGACCGGCCACAUUGGGACUGAGAUACGGCCCAGACUCCUACGGGAGGCAGCAGUGGGGAAUAUUGCACAAUGGGCGGAAGCCUGAUGCAGCAACGCCGCGUGCGGGAUGACGGCCUUCGGGUUGUAAACCGCUUUCGCCUGUGACGAAGCGUGAGUGACGGUAAUGGGUAAAGAAGCACCGGCUAACUACGUG
rnacentral:rRNA from 1 species